rnacentral:rRNA from 1 species
GUGCAUGGCUGUCGUUAGCUCGUGUUGUAAGGUGUUGGGUUAAGUCUCGCAACGAACACAUCCCUCGUGUCUAGUUGCCACUGUAAGUUUGGAACCCUGAACAGACCGCUGGUGUUAAGCCGGAGGAAGGAGAGAAUGAGGCCAAGUCAUCAUGC